rnacentral:rRNA from 1 species
GAUGAACGCUGGCGGCGUGCCUAAUACAUGCAAGUCGAGCGAACAGACGAGGAGCUUGCUCCUCUGACGUUAGCGGCGGACGGGUGAGUAACACGUGGAUAACCUACCUAUAAGACUGGGAUAACUUCGGGAAACCGGAGCUAAUACCGGAUAAUAUAUUGAACCGCAUGGUUCAAUAGUGAAAGACGGUUUUGCUGUCACUUAUAGAUGGAUCCGCGCCGCAUUAGCUAGUUGGUAAGGUAACGGCUUACCAAGGCAACGAUGCGUAGCCGACCUGAGAGGGUGAUCAGCCACACUGGAACUGAGACACGGUCCAGACUCCUACGGGAGGCAGCAGUAGGGAAUCUUCCGCAAUGGGCGAAAGCCUGACGGAGCAACGCCGCGUGAGUGAUGAAGGUCUUCGGAUCGUAAAACUCUGUUAUUAGGGAAGAACAAAAGUGUAAGUAACUAUGCACGUCUUGACGGUACCUAAUCAGAAAGCCACGGCUAACUACGUG